UACGUAGGGGGCUAGCGUUGUCCGGAUUUAUUGGGCGUAAAGAGCGUGUAGGCGGCCAGGUAGGUCUGCUGUGAAAACUCGAGGCUCAACCUCGAGACGUCGGCGGAAACCAUCUGGCUAGAGUCCGGAAGAGGAGAGUGGAAUUCCUGGUGUAGCGGUGAAAUGCGCAGAUAUCAGGAAGAACACCCGUGGCGAAGGCGGCUCUCUGGGACGGUACUGACGCUGAGAGACGAAAGCUAGGAGCAAAUGGG
rnacentral:rRNA from 1 species